rnacentral:lncRNA from 1 species
UUGAAAAUUUGGGUUCAGAUGAUGUAAGGGGAAAAGAACAGAGGAAGAAGGGGAGCGGGAAAGAGAAAGAGGAGAGGAAGGAAGGUUCUAAAAGGAGAGAGAAAGGAAGCGGAGCGGAGAGAAGAGGAGAUCGCGAACGGUGAUAGCACAUUCGGCCGAAAGAAGGAAGAUGGAAAUGGGAGGUACGGUAACAAACUUCAAAUAUGUGUGUUGAUUU